rnacentral:rRNA from 1 species
UACGGAGGGUGCAAGCGUUAUCCGGAUUCACUGGGUUUAAAGGGAGCGUAGGUGGGUCUGUAAGUCAGUGGUGAAAUCUCCGUGCUUAACAUGGAAACUGCCAUUGAUACUAUCAGUCUUGAAUAUUGUGGAGGUUAGCGGAAUAUGUCAUGUAGCGGUGAAAUGCUUAGAUAUGACAUAGAACACCAAUUGCGAAAGGCAGCUGGCUACGCAUAUAUUGACACUGAGGCUCGAAAGCGUGGGGAUCAAACAGG